rnacentral:rRNA from 1 species
UACGUAGGGUGCGAGCGUUGUCCGGAAUUAUUGGGCGUAAAGAGCUUGUAGGCGGUUUGUCGCGUCUGCCGUGAAAAUCCGGGGCUCAACCCCGGACUUGCGGUGGGUACGGGCAGACUAGAGUGUGGUAGGGGAGACUGGAAUUCCUGGUGUAGCGGUGAAAUGCGCAGAUAUCAAGAGGAACACCUGCGGCGAAGGCGGGUUGCUGGGCCGACACUGACGCUGAGGCGCGAAAGCCAGGGGAGCGAACGGG